rnacentral:rRNA from 1 species
UACGUAGGGGCCUAGCGUUGUCCGGAAUUAUUGGGCGUAAAGAGCUCGUAGGCGGUCUGUCGCGUCUGCUGUGAAAACUCAGGGCUUAACCCUGAGCUUGCAGUGGGUACGGGCAGACUAGAGUGCGGUAGGGGAGACUGGAAUUCCUGGUGUAGCGGUGAAAUGCGCAGAUAUCAGGAGGAACACCGGUGGCGAAGGCGGGUCUCUGGGCCGUAACUGACGCUGAGGAGCGAAAGCAUGGGGAGCGAACAGG